ensembl:lincRNA
UUUACAUAGCCAUGACUUAGAUUUUUCCAGAUUUUUAAAUUUAAAGCUAAAACAAGAUAUCUUAGUAACUGAAGUUAAUAAAAAGAUUUUACCUACCAAAAAAAAUAGUUUGAGUAUAAAUGUAACAAGAUGAAAAAAAUUUUGUUUAAUAUUUAUAGGUAUUAUUGGAUCAGAUGGAUGCAUUUUCUUUGGAAAUAAAAGGAAUUUAAGCAAAAUCCCUUCACUAUGAAUGCCUGAGUCUUUUAAUUCUUUGUUAAUAGUCAAGUGUUACUGAGACUAAUAUGCAGGUAGAAAUUGUAUAUCUAGGAAAUGGAUUGAAGUUUCACCUACUUCUUAUAAUGAAUCUUGCAAAACAAGUAGUGCCUCUUCUUUUCCUGAGUAGGAAUUGUCCCCGGCACACCUCUCCUUAUGUUUGCGUGUUUAGUACCAUGUGGGCGGGUACACCUGCAGGAGGUCUAAGUGUGCUCUCCUAAAGGGGAGGGGUAUUAAGAGGGAGGUAACAAGUGAAUUUUUAAGAAGAAAAGACAGGACGUUAAAGAGUAUUUCUUUCUUAACUGAGACUAAAGUAGUAACAGGAUUUGAUCAUUUUCUUCUUUACCUUUGUAAAGACAUGUGGUUUUUGGUUCUGGAAACAGGAAACACCUGAUGUACAAGAUUAUCUUUCCCAUAAAACACCCUGUUGGAAACAGAGCUGAGUUGGGGCAAAUCAAGCAGACUGCUGCCCGGGGCACCUUUCCAUACUUGCUGGUGGGCUGUGGAGGCUGCCCCUACCCCGAGAUAACACCUGGAUUACACUCCUAUCCCUCCCACCAAAGUUGCCAGGUAAUAUCUGUUUUAUUAUUUUUGUAUCACUCUAGCAUACUGACAAUCCAAGAACAGUUUUUAUAUUUUACUGUCACAUUGAAAACAAGUCAAAUUUGCUUCAGCCUCAAAGUACGUAUUUCUGUAAAAUUAAAAGAAUGCUGGCAUCAAACUGCAUUUUUUUCCUAAAUGGGAAAUGAAUUAACUGGCAGGAAGCCCACAGUCU